rnacentral:rRNA from 1 species
CUUAUUCAUACUACGAACGACAUCAUUCAUACUAUUCUUCUCCAAGCCAACCUCACACCACCAUUUUGGGUAGAGGCACUUCACACCGCCACUUACUUACUUAACCGGCGCCCCUCUCGCACUAUUGCACCCCACACACCGUACUACCUCCUUCACGGAAAGCACCCCGAUUAUACACAUCUCCGCAUAUUUAGUUGCUUAUGUUACCCUACUUAUGCCACCAUGGACCAUAAGCUUGUUCCCCGCUCCUCCCGCUGCAAUUUCCUAGGCUAUCCCCUCAAGCACAAAGGGUAUCAGUGCUAUGACCUCGCCACUCGCCGUGUCAUCGUGUCUAGGCAUGUCACUUUUGAUCAAAAUGUGCUCCCCUACACACCCACACCGUCAUGGCACAACACCUCCACGUCCACAUACAAUACCCAUGCAAACCAACCGCACUGA